rnacentral:rRNA from 1 species
ACUCAAAGGAAUUGACGGGGACCCGCACAAGCGGUGGAUGAUGUGGAUUAAUUCGAUGCAACGCGAAAAACCUUACCUGCUCUUGACAUGUACGGAAGAUUUCAGAGAUGAGAUUGUGCCUUCGGGAACCGUAACACAGGUGCUGCAUGGCUGUCGUCAGCUCGUGUCGUGAGAUGUUGUCUUAAGUGACGCAACGAGCGCAACCCUUGCCACUAGUUGCCAUCAUUAAGUUGGGCACUUUAGUGGGACUGCCGGAGCUAAUCCGGAGGAAGGUGGGGAUGACGUCAAGUCCUCAUGGCCCUUAUGAGCAGGGCUUCACACGUCAUACAAUGGUAGGUAACAGAGGGACGCAAGACCGCGAGGUGGAGCAAAUCCCAUAAACCCUAUCGUAGUCCGGAUCGUAGUCUGCAACUCGACUACGUGAAGUCGGAAUCGCUAGUAAUCGCGGAUCAGAAUGUCGCGGUGAAUACGUUCCCGGGUCUUGUACACACCGCCCGU